UUGGCAAAUGCCUGCCACCUCCAUUCCCAUACAGCCCUGCAUCACGCUGGCCGUUCCCAAAACUGUGUGAACAUGAUGCUUGUCACAGAUAGAGUAAACUCAUUUCCUGAAUUAUAGGGGAGGCCACACAGUUCAAAGAGAUGAAAUACAGCCGCAGGGCUGCCGGACUCUCUAGGGCUGCCUCCAGCGGAAAUGAAUGUGUGUCACUGAGGCUCACAGUGAUAUGUGCUGGGCUGGCCGGGUCAGUGCUACAUUUGUCACUCAGAUAUGAUGGAUGGCAUGUUAAGACCACCUUCCUGGUGGUAUGGCCAUUAAGGGAGAAAAGAACAAAAAGCACUUCAUGGCUGCCUUGGUGCUGAGGGUUGAUAAAGUAAACAGAAAACUUUUGGGGAACGCAGUAAAAGGAACCAGGAAGAGAAAGUAUUGACCUGUGUGGGGUAGGUCGCUGAGGGCCCACCAAGACCAGGGCACUGGGUCCCUGUGGAAUGGAAAUCAGCCCAGAGGAGGAAUGCAUUUUCAGAAACAUCACAGAGAGCCAGGUGAACACCUUGCCGGACAAACUUAAUAUGCAACAAAUCACCGGAAGAGCUCGAUACUUGUAGAGGUUUCGGUUCUGAGUUGCUGAUCAGCAUCCCAGCUUCUGUUGAUGUGAGAGCCUCCCAACCUCACCCUCAGAUCCCAAUGCCUAGACUUGAACAUGACAGAGCUGGAGGAGAUGGCCAAGCUCAACUCCUCCUGGCCCAGACACACACGCUGAGGGUAAUGAGUCCUGGGGUGGCUUCAGUUCCCUCCACAACCGCCCCACUAAGUCAGCGGCUCUGGCUUCCUGGCUUUCCCUGCUGCCCGUAUUUACCAAAUGAAGGGCAACUUGCUAUGUUUCUUUUCUCCCCAAGUUUGGCAUCAUGGCCCAGACCAUUAAAAAGCUGAUAUAUUUGUUUGAAAGUAUAUGCUACGGUAAAUAUACGUGUGUGUUUUCCUCAGCACCGUUUUUACCACUAAAAUACUGGCUUGUAUACGAGGAUGGCAAUAAAAGAAGGACUUAUUUUCACAACAACAAUUGAACCAAAUAUUUCUGUUUAAAAAUAUCUACUUCUAAAAAAAACUUAUUGGAAGAAUUACUAUGUCUUUAUCAACAAAAUAUAUCUCUUUCUUAAAAUAUACUUUUAAUUUGAUAUAAGUAUUGAGAAAUGUGUUUUUAUUACUUUUGUUACUUUAUUUGAAAUCGUAUUAUGAAGGCCAGAACCAAUGACUGAUAAGGAUAGCCUGAUCAAACAGGUUUUUCAUCUGGAUAAAGAAGGUGAAGAGAAAUACUAUUGCAACAGUUCUAAAUUCUUUUGGUAUCUGACAAUUUCACAAGCUCUGCUUUUGCUUUAUGGACAGGAUUCUUUUUCUCUACUCCUCAUAGUCUGUGUGGCAUUUGCAGGCCUAGGGUACUUCUCUCUCUCCCUCUCUUACACAUAGACACACACACACACACACACGCCCCUCCUUUGGCAGGGAGGAGGCCCUCUCCUGAUAUCACACUUCAUUACCUACAUCUAGCCCUGAUGAUGUUAAAGCCAGUUGCUGACACCGUCACUUUGGGCACUCCACAGAUGGUGAUAUGGCCACAGGACAGUUCCUUGCUUCAUUUUUUCAUGUUGGUCUAUUAUUUUUUUUUUCUCUGGGGUUUCAUACAGAUCAAGCUACCUAUCUAUAUCCACACAGGAUCAUCAGAAAGCCCUUGGGAAGUUUAUAAGCUUUGAGCUUUAAACCUUAGUUCUUGGAGAAAAAUAAUUUACAACAUAAACAUGUAUUUUUCUGAUUGUGAUGUACCCAUAUAAACAUACUGUGUACAUGUAUACAUGAUGUGCAGAUAUAUGUAUAUACUUACCUAUAUGUACAUAUACACAUAUGCAAAUAUAUAGUAAAGUUUUUAGGAAGCUUAGGAAAACAAGAGUAUAAAAUAACUUUUAAUCAGGCCACAAUUAUUACUGUAGUAGUACAUUUCCUUCUAGUCUUUUUCUUAUUUAUGCCUAUUCAUUGUAAAACACAUCUGUGACAUAUUGUUUAUUUAGUUUUAUCAUCUUUAAAACUUAACUAACCAUGACCAUUUCUCCUAUAUCUUUAAUUAUUACCAAUUACAUUUUGCAAUGCGUUUUUAUAUGCUCCAUUUUAUAGAUGCCUUAAAGGUCAUAUAACCAUCUGCUACUGUUAGAUGAUUGGGUUUUCUGUUUCUAUGACUCUCAAUAAUAUGAGAUGCACAUCCUUGUUCAUAAACGAUCAUGUGCCUUUUUGCUUGUUUCCCUAAGAUCAAUGGCAGCUUUAGAUAUUGAGCAGUAAAUUUUCUUCCUAUAGCUGAUGAGGUCUUCAAUUCUGCCAACUCUAAGAUACAACUUAUCUUCUAUUGUCAGAGAUCCUGAAACUUUAAGACAUUUAUUUUAUUGUUACAUGAAAUCAAUCUAUCACCUACCUUGCUAAAGCUCCAAAAUGCACAGGGCCUUUUGAAAAUCCUGCAUCUCUUGACUGUGAGAAUGUAAAGGAGUACAGCAGUGCCCCCUUAAUAUGGGAAUAUGGUUGCUCAUAAAACAUUUAGUGUACUAGAAAUUCUUAGCAAAUUACACCACAUGAUGACUACAAUCACAGAGAUGAAAUCUUUUCUCAUUUUUGGAUUCUAUGAACUGGGUACUCAGGGCUAUCACAGAACUUUGUUUUUUUUAUAGUUAAUUCAAAAUGCAUUUUUUUUAACAGAAUAUAUCCUAUUGCAUUUUUUGUUUUAAGAUUAUAUUAGUCACAAUCAUCAGCCUCAGUGAGUGAACCAAUGGUGAGUCUCAAGAGCCAACAACCUGGAUGUUCUCUCUGGAAUGUUAAACAUGGGGAAAUUUUGAUAAACCCUUGAAGGGCUGUGAAUGAAGUAGCUGUUCAUGGAGGCCAAACGUGUAGAUAAGUGAGAUAUUUAACCUUCCGUCCAGGCAUUAAGAAGCUAGGUUAAUAGGAGGUGCUACUCAAAAUAACCAUUCCCAAGUCAGGAAAGUGUGAAAUGAAGUUCCAAGGAUGCUGUCAAUUCUACUGGGAGAGUUUGCAAUGUUACUUUAAAAUUAAAUGUGCUUUAUCUGGGCAACCUGUAGCCUACUGGUAGUACUCAGUCUUAGGGGAAUGCAAAUUAACAGCCCGACCUCUUCCUUCUCUCCCUGUUAAAAAUCAGAUUUGCAACUGCACACUAAAUAAGAUAGUGUGAAUAUCUAAAAACAUGCAAAUUGCUUUAACCAGGCAAAACUCUAAGAAAAAAUGAGAUGAAACUGCAACCUUCCCAUUUGUAUAGGAGGUCCAUUUGUUUUGCUUAAGGAAAGUUUGAAAUUGAUAAGCUAAUGUCAGUAGACACCAGGACAAUGUGAGGGAAAAAUCCCUGGGUAUCAUGGCUAUGACUUUAAAAAGCAGGGGCAGGCCAGGUGCGGUGGCUCAUGCCUGUAAUCCCAGCACUUUGAGAGGCCAAGGUGGUGGAUCACUUGAGGUCAGGAAUUUGAGACCAGCUUGGCCAACAUGGCAAAACCUCGUGUCCACUAAAAAUACAAAAAUUAGCUGGGCAUGGUGGUGCAUGCCUGUAAUCCCAGCCACUCAGGAGGCUGAGAAUCGCUUGAACCCGGGAGGCAGAGGUUGCAGUGAGCUAAGAUCACGCCACUGCACUGCAGCGACAUAGCGAGACUCCAUUUCAAAAAAAAAAAAAAGAAAAAGAAAGAAAAGAAAAGCAGGGUUAAAUGUUUGAUAUGGAUACUGACAUACUAUAAAAAUGUUAUAGACAUAUUAAAACUUGCAAAUGCAGUCUGGGAAAAAAAUGAAAACAUUUUAAUUAAGUUUUCAUUUUUCUGACAUAUGAGAGAAGAAAAAGAGCACUGACAUGCAUUAGGUUUUAGGUCAACAACACGCUAUAAAUGAAGGUAGUUGCAAUGACUUCUUGAGCUGAACUUUCAUGGCCAAUGGCUGUGAGAAACUGCAGAAGCUUCUGAUGUCAGAUGGAAGAGAAGGGACUGAUUGCCAGGUUAGACUUUUGAUGCAGCACAAGCAUGAAAUUGUGGUGCAAUGCACCGACCAUUAACCACCAGCCUUCCCCUUUGAUAAGACAUGGGUGGGAGUGAUAAAGGCGAAAUGAAAAAGAAACAAUCAGCCAAUGCUACAAAGGCCAUUAUGUGAAUUAGAAGCAGGUAAGAAAGAGGUGCUAGUGUUACUAAGAAACGUGCUCAUCGGUAUCAUUAGGUUCCGUUAGGGUUGGUUUACUUUGGAAACUGCAUUAGAGACGGGUGGGGGAGGGGACAGGAGAAAUGGGUAACUUGAAUGACAUUCAAAGCAUUCUUAAAAAGUGUGUUGAAAGAAUGGAAAAUCAAAGAUGUCUGAAAGAGAAAAGUCAACAAAUGGAAAAGCUGUAACCCAUUCCAUUUUAGUUUAGUUUUAUUGGGGCAUGAAAUGAAAUUUCAUGAUGUUCUAAAAACAACAACUUAACUGCAUAAAACUGAAUAAGUGAACUGGCAUUAAAUCCAUAGCGUAUUUUUUAAAAUCUCAUUUUGAUAUAAUAAUAGUAACUGGUUAGUUAGGUCAUAGUCUUCUUCGUCAAGUCUCAUGCACAGUUAAAGAAAUAGUUCUAAAAAUUUCUAAUUGCUCCUACCUUCUAGCAAAACCAUACAUCGACAUGCUGGUUGAUUUAUGACUUUCUAGUAACCUUUAAUCUCAAAUGGCUUCUACCAAAUGAUUUAUUUACUUGGUCUAUGCUGAGGUAACCUCCUGGCUGGGCUGACUGCUGUCCUUUCAGCUCGAAAUGUAAAGGAUUGAGUCCCCUCACUAAGACAUUUCUUGAGUUUCUGUGAGAGCUGUGGGUUCUCAUGCGAUAAACCAUGAGUCUUAGGUGCAAUUUUGAAAUGUCUCUCUUUCGGAUUGCUUGAGCCAGGAAGGUCUAGGCUGCAGUGAGCUGUGACUGCACCACUGUACUCCAGUCUGGGCAACAGAGUGAGACCUUGUCCAAAACAAACAACAAACAAACAAACACCCAAAACAAACAAAAAAUGUCUCCCCUUCCUCGUCAUUUCUCUUUGGAGAAAAAAGAAAAUCUUUGACAAUUUCUGACCCACUGAACAAUGUAAAGUGGCAAAGUUCCACACCUUUGCCAAAGGCUGCUAAUUUCAAGCCUUUUUCUGGUCCACGGUGCUGCUUCACCUCACUCUUGUCUUUCCUGCCCAGUUUCCUCUCUUAGAUUACAAACUUAAUCUACUAAAUGCCUCCCCCACCCCCGACAAUAGCAGAGUUUUAUAAGAUCUGUAUAAAGUCAUUAGUUUUCCCAUUAAGCCUCGGUGUCCCCCAGCUCCAGCCCGUAAGAUGCACACAGU